GAUUAUGACGUACUUGUACUGGUUGAGAUUUUAACACGAAGUGAGUGGCGAACGGGUGAGUAACACGUGGGUAACCUGCCCAGAAGUAGGGGAUAACACCUGGAAACAGAUGCUAAUACCGUAUAACAGAGAAAACCGCAUGGUUUUCUUUUAAAAGAUGGCUCUGCUAUCACUUCUGGAUGGACCCGCGGCGUAUUAGCUAGUUGGUGAGGUAAAGGCUCACCAAGGCAGUGAUACGUAGCCGACCUGAGAGGGUAAUCGGCCACAUUGGGACUGAGACACGGCCCAGACUCCUACGGGAGGCAGCAGUAGGGAAUCUUCCACAAUGGACGCAAGUCUGAUGGAGCAACGCCGCGUGAGUGAAGAAGGGUUUCGGCUCGUAAAGCUCUGUUGUUAAAGAAGAACGUGGGUAAGAGUAACUGUUUACCCAGUGACGGUAUUUAACCAGAAAGCCACGGCUAACUACGUGCCAGCAGCCGCGGUAAUACGUAGGUGGCAAGCGUUAUCCGGAUUUAUUGGACGUAAAGCGAGCGCAGGCGGUCUUUUAAGUCUAAUGUGAAAGCCUUCGGCUCAACCGAAGAAGUGCAUUGGAAACUGGGAGAGUUUGAGUGCAGAAGAGGACAGUGGAACUCCAUGG
rnacentral:rRNA from 1 species